rnacentral:tRNA from 1 species
GGUUCCGUAGCUCAGUUGGAUAGAGCAACAGCCUUCUAAGCUGUGGGUCGAGCGUUCGAGUCGCUCCGGAAUCACGA